rnacentral:rRNA from 1 species
AUGUCCAAGUUGAAGUGUCGCACAAAGUAUCUGAGUAAGGAGAAGUACAUGAAGGUGCCCUCGAGAUGGUGUGCGGAUAGGCUGGAUUGUUGGGAGGCAUUGGUGGAUGAGUGGUGCUCUCCCCAAUGGCUAUCCACCCACAACAAUGCAAAGGAUCGGCGUGGCAAAAUGAGCGGUGUGCCACACCAUCAAGGCAGCGUCAACCUAUAUCAGUACGGGGAUAACUGGGCGCGGCACAACAAGACGGAUGUGCCAGAGCUGUUCGACCUCUAUGCCAUGGCUCAUAGAGCCCCUUUUAAGAAGGCCAAGGCAUUCUCUGAGUCUGAUCUCGACAAUCCAAAGAACUUCACCAACCACGCCUCCCACAAUAAGCUCGUGAGGUACAGAGACAAGGGGAAGGCGAGGAAAGGGCCGGACUUUAACCCGAGCCAGCCUAUUGAUCCAGAGCUGGUGAUGAUAUCUAGUGGCGAGAGGAACCAUGGCUUGUUAGCCAUUGGGGAUGGAUUGAUAUGUUGUACUAGCACUCUCUCGCAGAUCAAGAGGUGCCAGACGAGCUCCGAUCCUGAGAUAAGGCCUCGUCCACGGCCAAUGGAUCUCGAAAUCAACAUCAGCUGCUAUUGA